AUCCAAGGUUGUGUGUGUCUGCAAACUGCCUGUCUGUUGCGGAAGGGGGGGGCACUGUCCCCCAUAAGUAAGUCUGUAACAUUGCAUGUGAUUUUCAUCAGGAAAGAAAAACCUUUUUGCUUGCUGGAAUAGUAACUAGCAAGCACCUUGUUCUAAGAGUUUCUGUAGCAGUAAAGAAAAAGCCUGGUCUGCAGUACAAGAGGAAAACUGAGGCAUGCCACUGUUGGAGAGGGCUAGCAUCUCUGAGGUAAUUCAAGGGACUGGAAGGUCAUGAGUACCAAUGAAGCGCUCUUGUUCUCAGAAAGUUGCAGCUCACUCACCCAUAGAAGUGGUAAGGAACUAGCUGUAACCAGUUCUCCUAACAGAUCUUAGGCAGUAUUUUAAGUUAUAAUGGGCCACCCCAGUGGGGGUACAAGUGUUUUCUUUGUCUUUCAGAUCAUCAAAUAGCGCUAAUAUCAGCUGAAAAUUAACUGGAAAAAAAUCAUAGUUCUGUCUCAUGACAUAAUAAGUUUGUGUUCUGUCCAGAUUUGUCUGGUAGGUCUUGAUUUUGAUAUAUGUAUUUCAAACAUUGUUGUGUGUACAAUAUUGUUGUUUUAAUGAAAAAAAAUGUAAGUCCCUUGAAUAAUCUUAACUUUGUGCUUUACACAGAUGGUUCUUGCUUUUAUAAUUCUAGUGGAGUUUUAGUAGCAGGCUAUGCAAGUUGUACUGUCUGGGAUGUAGUAGAAUCUGCCCCUUUACCUGCUGUUUCUUCCGCACAGGUAGCGGAAUUAAUAGCUCUCACAAGAGCUUGUCAUAUUGCUGCAGGAGCAUCUGCUACUAUCUACACUGACUCCCAGUAUACUUUUGGCGUAGUUCAUGAUUUUGGUAUGCUUUGGAAGCAACGAGGUUUCCUUACUUCCCCUAGCCACUCUAGAAAGAAUGGACCUUAUGUAGCUGCUUUACUUGAUGCAGUUCUUUUACCUUCGGCUCUUGCUAUUGUUAAGUGUGUAGCUCAUUCCUCUUCCUCUAAUGAAGUUGCAUUAGGAAAUGACAUAGCUGAUCGGGCUGCUAAGGCAGCCGCCCUGUCCUCCACGGGCUGAAGCAUUGUACCCUUCUCUCCCACCACCGCCAGCUCCUUUGCCAUCUCUGUCAGAACUGGCCCUCCUGCGAGACCAAGCCCCAGAAUCGGAAAAGCAGGAGUGGAGACUGGCAGGGUGCACCUUGCUCCCAGACCAUUUGUGGCGCAGCUCCGACGGCCGCAUUGUUGCCCCAGUGGUAUUGCUACCUCACCUUGCCUCCAUGCUCCAUGGAUUGUCGCAUGUUGGCAAAGGGGGGAUGGUAGCAAUCCUUAAAAAAAAAUUGGUUUGCUCCCAAAUUCUCCCAAGCAGCCGAAGAUUACUGUCUGGCUUUCCCUGUCUGCCAAGCCUACAACAUAGGUAAACCUGUAAAGACAGUUCCAGCAACCAGACCUCCACCUUUGGGACCAUUUCUGAAUUUACAAAUGGACUUUAUUCAAUUGCCUAAAUGUCAAUCCUUUGAAUAUGUGCUGGUUAUUGUUUGUUUGUUUUCGGGAUGGGUAGAAGCUUAUCCCUGCAGGAAAGCGGAUGCCAUCACAGUAGCUAAGAAACUUCUAAAUCAUUACAUCCCAUCAUGGGGAAUACCCCUGGUGAUCUCCAGUGAUAGAGGUUAAGGACGCCUUCCAGGAGGCCCCGACUGAGCCGUGCCAUAAACUACAUCCAGGAGACUGGGUUUGCGUGAAAGUUCACCAGCGAAAGACUGCCCUGGAACCCAGGUGGAAAGGUCCCUACCAAGUCCUUCUGACCACCCAUACUGCUGUAAAGUGCGAAGGAUUGCCCACCUGGAUUCACGCAUCCCACUGCAAACCUGUCCUGGCCCCUACAGAAGUUGGCCCCAACAAGGAGCACCACAGACCUAGGACCGGAGACCCAGGUCCAGAAGCAGACGAGGAUCAGCACAGGCUUGGUACCGGCAAUCCAAGCCCUGAAGCAGACGAUCCUAAAAGACCGAGGCCAAGGUACCAGCUGCGGCCCAGAAGGACCUUCCAGCGAUAGGUGAAGCAAUCUACGAAGUCCUGAAGAACAGCCAGCAUGAGGCUGGACAAACAAUUCAUGUUGAGCUUAUGCUUAAUCUUGUUUUUAAUACCUAGUAGUUAUAACCUAUAUGGUUUAAAUGUGUUUAUGCUUUUAAUGAACCAAGUUUCCCAAGAAUUUAAUUCCACAGGUUGCUAGAUAUGUGCUCACAGUCCUGUACAUUCAGAAGGAGGCAUCCCAAUGAUUCCAGUCCCACUAAACAACACUCAAAUAUGGCACACUGUUUAGUGAACUAAGCCAAAUUAAACUCGACAAGAAAAAAAAAAAGGUUUACUAACCCAGGGUAUAUCCGCCUAGCCUUGACCCCAAUUGGAAAGUACUGCUGGACAUGUAAUGGUUCAGGAGCCAGGGU